GGUUUCGUGGUGUAGUGGUUUUCACAUCUGCCUUACGCGCAGAAGGCCGCCGGUUCAAUCCCGGCCGGAAUCA